CUUCAGGCUCCGCACAAGGUUUGAGUUGUGAACCCCGCUAGGCCGGGAACGGAGCAACGGUAGCGAUUUCAGCUUGUGUUGCGGUAAAGUCUGGAGCCA
rfam:Acidobacteria bacterium OLB17 TZ17_ACD001CONTIG000027, whole genome shotgun sequence.